rnacentral:rRNA from 1 species
UCUGGAGAAGGAACUCGGCAAAUUGACACCGUAACUUCGGAAGAAGGUGUGCCUUUAGUAGGUGAACCAUUACUUGGGGAGCCCAAUGAGGCCGCAGAGAAUCGGUGGCUGCAACUGUUUAUUAAAAACACAGCACUCUGCAAAGACGAAAGUCGACGUAUAGGGUGUGACUCCUGCCCGGUGCUGGAAGAUUAAAUGAUGGGGUGCAAGCUCUUGACUGAAGUCCCAGUAAACGGCGGCCGUAACUAUAACGGUCCUAAGGUAGCGAAAUUCCUUGUCGGGUAAGUUCCGACCUGCACGAAUGGAGUAAUGAUGGCCACACUGUCUCCUCCAGAGACUCAGCGAAGUUGAAAUGUUUGUGAUGAUGCAAUCUCCCCGCGGAAAGACGGAAAGACCCCAUGAACCUUUACUGUAGCUUUACAUUGGACUUUGAACAGAUCUGUGUAGGAUGGGUGGGAGGCUUUGAAGAGUGGACGCUAGUUUGCUUGGAGCCAACGUUGAAAUACCACCCUGGUGUGUUUGAGGUUCUAACCUUGGUCCCUUAUCGGGAUUGGGGACAGUGUAUGGUGGGCAGUUUGACUGGGGCGGUCUCCUCCCAAAGUGUAACGGAGGAGUUCGAAGGUACGCUAAAUACGGUCGGAAAUCGUGUUGAUAGUGCAUUGGCAUAAGCGUGCUUGACUGCGAGACUGACAAGUCGAGCAGGUACGAAAGUAGGACAAAGUGAUCCGGUGGUCUGUAUGGAAGGGCCAUCGCUCAACGGAUAAAAGGUACUCUGGGGAUAACAGGCUGAUACCGCCCAAGAGUUCAUAUCGACGGCGGUGUUUGGCACCUCGAUGUCGGCUCAUCUCAUCCUGGGGCUGUAGCCGGUCCCAAGGGUAUGGCUGUUCGCCAUUUAAAGAGGUACGUGAGCUGGGUUUAAAACGUCGUGAGACAGUUUGGUCCCUAUCUUCCGUGGGCGCUGCAAGAUUGAGAGAGCCUGCUCCUAGUACGAGAGGACCGGAGUGGACGCACCUCUGGUGUAUCGGUUGUCACGCCAGUGGCAUCGCCGAGUAGCUAAGUGCGGAAGAGAUAACCGCUGAAAGCAUCUAAGCGGGAAACUCGUCUCAAGAUGAGUCUUGCCGGGGCCUAGAGCCCCCUGAAGGGUCGUUCGAGACCAGGACGUUGAUAGGCUGGGUGUGGAAGCGCGGUAACGCGUUAAGCUAACCAGUACUAAUUGCCCGUGAGGCUUGACCCU